ACGAACUUCAGAAGUUCAUUGUUGGCAAAGGUGCAAUUUCCCGAGCUGUGAAGAGCACGAGUUCGGACUAAGGGCCCCAGUAGGAUUAUUCCAACAAAAGUCAAAUCGGUAUUAAUCUAAAAGCCAUUUGUUCUCAACCGAUGCUGCAUUCGAUGGGUUACGUAGCAAUCUCUCCAUGAAAAUUGGCGGCAGUGAGACGUUACGUAUGCGGCCAAGGACCACCUUUGGAAGUGCGGGAUCGGCAAAGGACCUCACGUGCUGCCACAACAAAGGAGCCAACAAAAGUCAGCCGAGCAAUAGGAGUGCGGCAGCAGAGACCAACACAAACGACAGCAAAUUAUUCGCUGUCAGGGCAGGACAACGGAGUAGCAGUCGCAGGACUCGAGUGUGCGUGUGGGAGAUUCCGCAGGACAGUGCAGGGGAUUGCGUGUCUGGCAAGACGGCGACCGAAAAUCAAAAGAAAAUUGAUAUUAAGAAAUUGCACGAAAUGAGUAAAUGAAGCGUGGACGCCUAAUGGACUGACGUCUAAGCCGAACCGAAUCAAGGAGGGCGUCUGAUUGCCACCUUGGAAAAGAUGUAUUAAAAAUUCCACGAAAACUAAUCAAUGUCAAAUGUCCGUUGAUUGUUCCACGCCGACGGCACAGAUAGAUAAAGCCAGGAUCCCAGGCGAUUCCACGCGUGGUUGCCUGAAGUUAGAAAAUAAUUUGCUUUUGUCCCGAGUAAUUUAUUGCCUGCCAUAAAUUGGCCGGGGCGUGUCACGAGGAGUGUCAUCCGAUGGGCGGACCUCUAAGGUUUUUACGAUUUCCACAAAUUAUCUAU